rnacentral:rRNA from 1 species
UACGUAGGGCGCAAGCGUUGUCCGGAAUUAUUGGGCGUAAAGAGCUCGUAGGCGGUUUGUCGCGUCUGCUGUGAAAACCUAAGGCUCAACCUUGGGCUUGCAGUGGGUACGGGCAGACUAGAGUGCGGUAGGGGUGACUGGAAUUCCUGGUGUAGCGGUGGAAUGCGCAGAUAUCAGGAGGAACACCGACGGCGAAGGCAGCUUACUGGGCCGAUACUGACGCUGAGGAGCGAAAGCGUGGGGAGCGAACAGG